rnacentral:rRNA from 1 species
CCUACGGGUGGCAGCAGUGAGGAAUAUUGGGCAAUGGACGAGAGUCUGAACCAGCCAAGUAGCGUGAAGGAUGACUGCCCUAUGGGUUGUAAACUUCUGUUAUAGGGGAAUAAAAUGUGCCACGUGGGGGAUUUUGUAUGUACCAUAUGAAUAAGGAUCGGCUAACUCCGUGCCAGCAGCCGCGGUAAUACGGAGGAUCCGAGCGUUAUCCGGAUUUAUUGGGGUUAAAGGGAGCGUAGGUGGUUUGGUAAGUCAGUUGUGAAAGUUUGCGGCUCCACCGUAAAAUGGCAGUUGAAACUGGCAGUCUUGCGUACAGUAGCGGUGGGCGGUAUUCGUGGUGUCGCGG